GACGGGGGAUGCAAGUGUUAUCCGGAAUAAUUGGGCGUAAAGCGUCUGUAGGUGGUUUACCAAGUCUGUUGUUAAAACUCAGGGCUUAACCCUGAUCCGGCAACAGAAACUAGUAGGCUUGAGUACGGGUAGGGGCAGAGGGAAUUCUCGGUGUAGUGGUGAAAUACGUAGAUAUCGAGAAGAACACCGACAGCGAAAGCACUCUGCUGGGCCGAAACUGACAUUGAGAGACGAGAGCUAGGGGAGCGAAUGGG
rnacentral:rRNA from 1 species